rnacentral:rRNA from 1 species
AUCUCUAUUGAAGCAAGAAGACCCCCUGAAUUUAAGCAUAUAAUUAAGG